CUGGAGGAAAACAAGGGCAAAAAACAGAUACAUAGGUCUCUAUCCAUACGAUGUCACUCGGGUCGUGUUGAAGGAGCUGCCAGGCCAGCCUGGUUCCGACUACAUCAACGCCAGCUACAUCAAUGGACACACUCAACCCAAAGCCUACAUAGCAGCACAAG